AACGAACGCUGGCGGCAUGCCUAACACAUGCAAGUCGAACGAGACCUUCGGGUCUAGUGGCGCACGGGUGCGUAACGCGUGGGAACCUGCCCUUAGGUUCGGAAUAACUCCCCGAAAGGGGUGCUAAUACCGGAUAAUGUCUUCGGACCAAAGAUUUAUCGCCUUUGGAUGGGCCCGCGUUGGAUUAGCUAGUUGGUAGGGUAAUAGCCUACCAAGGCGAGGAUCCAUAGCUGGUCUGAGAGACUGAUUAGCCACACUGGGACUGGGACACGGCCCAGACUCCUACGCGAGGCAGCAGUAGGGAAUAUUGGACAAUGGGCGAAGGGCCGAUCCAGCAAUGCCGGGUGAGUGAUGAAGGCCUUAGGGUAGUAAAGCUCUUUUACCCGGGAUGAUAAUGACAGUACCGGGAGAAUAAGCUCCGGCUAACUCCGUG
rnacentral:rRNA from 1 species